CGGCGCUGAGGAGAUGCUGAAACAGCUACCAAGAGACUCUAUGGGCAUCCUGAUACCCUGGUGGGGGGAACCAGCCAGUCAGCCAAAAAGGGAACACUCUAAAACUAAAGUUAAGGAACUUCUUGGCCCUGAUCUUGCAAUCAAAUAUAAGUGAGAUGCCAAAUGGACUUCAGUAUGAUUCUUUAUAGGCACAAGUCUGCCUGUCUGGUUCUGAACACAAGAACAUGGUCUAUAUUGCUAAAAGAGACCAGAAAAAAUGUAACUUCCAAUAGGUACAUCACACCAAAAUACUUGCUUGUUAGAAGCUCAAGUGAUUGGAAAAAUAUCUCUUAUAUCAACAGCCAUAUGCAUUUUGAAGCUCCUGAUACAAAGUCUAUAUUGGUUUUAAAAUGUACCUUAAAAAAUAUCCAUGUGCCAGUCCCUAUUUUGACUCCAUAAUGUUGUUAGGAUCAAUAGUAAAAUGGGAAGGAUGCCAACAAAACAGGAUUUUUCCAUUUAAUUCAAGAAGACAAUUAUGUGGCUUCUUUUUAACAUAGUUGAAAUUCUCUAUGUUAACUGUUUUCAGCAAGUACAUGGCCUUCUUUUUCAUUUUUGACCAUGGAAUUACAUUGUAUUAAAAAAUAAGUCUAUUUUAAGAAAAAAGGAUCUGUGUGGCACAGUAGACAGAUUUGUUUAAGAAUAUAAUAGCACCUGUUAUCAUUCCUCACUGUCAAUUGCACUUGUAAAAAUGAGACAUAACUUCUGCUAUAUUUAAUAAAACCAAGCAGCAGCUUAUCUCUGCU